AUGGUGGGAUGUUCUGCCACCUCAUGGUGGGAUGUUCUGUCACCUCAUGGUGGGAUCAUAUGCUGGACCAUAGCGGGAUGCUCUGCCAGGUUAUGGUUGGGUGCUCUACUUGACCAUGGUGGGAUGCUCUGCCAGCUUAUGGUGGGAUCCUAUGCUGGACCACAGUGGGAUGCUCUGCCAGGGUUUGGUGGGAUGUUCUUCUGGACGAUGGUGGGAUGCUCUGCUGUACCACAGCAGCAGCCCAUCCUCACCAGCACAGUAGAGCGGUGGGUUAUGAACUGUGGAAAGUCUUUGAGUGCUGCGGAUCAGCACGAGCUAACACCGAAAGGGAUUUUUUUGCUUAAAAAAAAAUAAAAAUAAGGAAUCAAUAACUUCAGCCCCAGGAAUUGGGAUGUACGACACAACUGAAGCCAUUUUCUUUUCUUUUUUUUUUUUUGGACCAGUUUGGGAAAUGGUCUCUGCAAAGCAACACCAAGUCCGGCUGGAGGGAGUUUGCUGGUGUUUUGGGGUGGGAAAGGGCUGAUCCCGAGAGAUCCCGGAUCUCUUGGCCCUGGCAGAGCUGCCCUCGGCGGGGACAGGAGGCAGGGACUGGGCUCACCCCUCGCUGUUGACAGAUCAUCCCAGGAAAUCAAUGGGAUUGACCGGAAUGGGGGCAGAAAAUAAUCCUUAAAAUGGCCGUAAUUGGUGCGAGCGUUCGUUACCCAGCAGUUAAUUGCGUCGGUUCAUUCAAAGCGCAUCUGGAUUCAGCUCGGGAUCAAAUUCCUUGACUUCAGGAGGAAAUCUGGCCCUAAACCGUGAACCGCCCCCCCAGUGCCACUGCCGCCUCCAGCGGCUCCUGUGGCUGAACUGAACCUGGCAAAUUUUCGGGUGAUUCCAGAGGGGGUGAACCCCUCCCUGGGGAAGCCCGAGAUUUUCCCGGGAGCCCCGAGCAGCCGGUGCCCGUGGGGUCCCUCAGCUUCACAUCAAACCCGGGGGGGGGAGGGGGGCACGACCUUAUAUAUAACCAAUUCAUUUUUGUUUAUCUACCUCUUAGCGACAAUAGAUUAAAAACUAGGUAGUGGCAACUCCACAUGCUGUAGUUUAGGGGAAAAAAAAAAAGUAAGAAAAAAAAAUUACUCUCUUUUUCCAAAGAAAAAUGUUCUUUAAAAAUAGAAUUUAUGGGCUUUCUUUUUCACUUGAAAGUGGUCAUUAGUUGUAAAAGCUCCAGACCUCAGCAGUCUGAAAUGUUUGGUUGUGACUGAUUAUUUUUUGUUAAUGCUCAAUCUUCCAUUUCUUUAUAUUUUGAUAUUUUUUUUUUUUUUGGCCUUUUGAACUUGGAGAUUAACUUCUUCCAUCAGCAGUUACACCUCCAGCC
rnacentral:lncRNA from 1 species